UACGGAGGGUGCAAGCGUUGUCCGGAAUCACUGGGCGUAAAGGGCGCGUAGGCGGCUCAUGAAGGCUGUGGUGAAAGUCCGGGGCUCAACCUCGGAUCGGCCGUGGCGACUCGUGGGCUGGAGCACUGUAGAGGCGGGUGGAAUUCCGGGUGGAGCGGUGGAAUGCGUAGAGAUCCGGAAGAACACCAGUGGCGAAGGCGGCCCGCUGGGCAGUGGCUGACGCUGAGGCGCGACAGCGUGGGGAGCAAACAGG
rnacentral:rRNA from 1 species